UUUCUUGGUAUUCCAGCAAUAGAAUUAAUAUCAACAACCUACCUGCAUUUCAAUUUGCAAAGAGUCAGAGCAACUUAUGCCUGUGGUAGAUGAAGGUUGAAGCUUUCUAAAAAGACUUUGUCCACCUCUUCUUCAUCUUUAUACCCCACUUCUCCAUUCCCUUCUUCUCCUCUCACCUCUGUGCUCAGGGCCUUGGGCAAUACCUGACAAGCAUUCAGAAACUAAACCCCUACAAAAAAGCAGCAAGAUUAAAUAUCUGAGAGAAGCAGGCCCAGAACCAAUAAGGUCUGAUUUCACUGUAGGUUACCUCAGCCAAGGCAGCCGUGUGUCAGGGGAGGAAGAUGCUUGAAAAACCUCCACAGGAGAAUUAAUUAAACGAAUUUCACUCUGCCAAUUGUUUGUUAUUUUUGCUGACCUCACCAAGUGGAUUAAUAUUUAAUUAGCCUUUAGGAGAAGUGGAAAGCACUUAUUAACCUGUUAUGUCAAUCUGUCAGGCCUGGGGUCUCGGGACAGGCGCUGUUACCACGAAACAAUAGAAAUAUCAAGUUACCAUAGUUCAAGCUCUAAACUUGGUGUUGAAAUCUAAUCAUCAGUGGGGAGAUGUGAUGGGGCUCUGCAAGAUACAGAGGUCCCAGGGUAUUCCACACUCCACCAGCAAACCCAACGAGCAUCCACACCCUGGUCUUGCCAUCUAACAAGGUCACAGGAGAGAUGCUAACUACCACAAGAUCCAACUUUCCAUCACAGGUAGAAAGCUUCAGCAGACAUCAAAAAUGACAGACCCUAUUCAGGAAAACACAGGGCAUGGGCUCGUGAGUCCCUUUCAGUCCCUGCAUGCAGGAGGUGAAACCAGCAAGCGGAGGCAGAAGCGUUUGGAGGCAAGCCCUGAGCAUGCCGCUUCGCACCGGCUGCCAAGGUGGGUCAUGCUCCCCUCCCUGCAAUCUGUGCUGCUCUCAAAGGCUCUGCCUGAGCCUGGUCACCUCCUGCUGCCUCGCUCCCACAGGGCAGGGACACUGGCCACGAUGCUAUCCUGCCUACACCGGGUGCUGAUACCGCCGCUCUGUGACAGGCCAUAUCAUUUAUUAUUAUUAUUAUUAUUUUUUUCAAAUUAAAAUCCUCCUGAGCUUUAUUAAAUAGGGAUGCUGAUAGGUAAUUAAAUCGCAACUUAAUUAAAUCUGUCUGCUCAAUCCAACCGCGGCACGCUGGCUACUCUGCAAUCCCUGUGAGAGGUGCUGUCGGUGGAGAACGGCAACAUGAAUUAAACAGCAUCACAGUCAGCACUGCCACCUCCCUGCCAGGCACAGCCAGGAAUGGCACCAAUGGGUUUCUCUGCCCGUAGAGCAACAGGAGAAGGUGGGGAGACUCCACGGGGGACCUGAUUUGACUUCAUAAGAGCUUUUUGGGGUAGGGACUGACUCCCUCCAGUGCGGCAGGACCAAACCAAGGCACUGGAGGCGCGUUGGAGGACUCAUAACUAACUGCUUUGGCAUAACAUGAUAGUGUUGAACACCAUGGGGCCUGGUGAUCAGGGCCUAAGGCCAUGCUGGCGGUUGGUGUCACCGAGCUCAUUGGCAUAUAGAAGCCCACUGUCUGCUUCCAUGGUUUCCCAGCAAUGUUUGCUGCCCCGUGUGUCAACAGCCCCAGCUGGCAGUUGCCUGUGCUCCAGAAGCGACUGUGGAUGUGUGAGGAGGCAAGAGAGGCAUCUCUGUGGUUUCCCUGUCCCAGGAGCUGAACGAGCACUUCCACACCUCCCACGUGUCCUGUGGCAUCACUGGUGCAGCAUCUCCAUCUCCCAGUGACCUUGGUGGCCAUGCUGCAAGGGGAAGGGCAGAAGAACAGGCCCCCCAAGCAAGUCCAGUUCCAGCUCCCCACCAGGGACUGGUGAGAGGAGCAUGAGUGGGAGAGGAGGGAGACUGCUACCACCCAGCUCUUAGCCCCAGCCGAUCCGUUGACUGGUUCCCAUGGUGGAGCAUGGACAGCUCGCCAAGGAUAGCCAGCCACCUCUCAGCCAGAACUGGGGGAGACUUCUGCGUUAUCUGUUUGGAUGCAACAAGGAGAGGAUGACCUGUGAAAAGAAGAUGCCCCCGCCGGCACAUCCAACUCCUCAAGCAAGAUGAGCCCUCUGCUCGAGCGAAAUACCUUUUGCAGAGCCUGUUUAUCCUAUCUUUUCUUCCUGUUGCCUAAUUUUGUAGAAUGUAUCUAAUUUCACUUUUUCUUAA